rnacentral:rRNA from 1 species
CACGUAGGGGGCAAGCGUUGUCCGGAUUUAUUGGGCGUAAAGAGCUCGUAGGCGGCUCAGUAAGUCAGGUGUGAAACCUCCAGGCUCAACCUGGAGACGCCACCUGAUACUGCUGUGGCUAGAGUCCGGUAGGGGAGCGUGGAAUUCCUGGUGUAGCGGUGGAAUGCGCAGAUAUCAGGAGGAACACCGAUGGCGAAGGCAGGUCUCUGGGCCGAUACUGACGCUGAGGAGCGAAAGCGUGGGGAGCGAACAGG